rnacentral:rRNA from 1 species
UACGAAGGGGGCUAGCGUUGUUCGGAAUUACUGGGCGUAAAGCGUGCGCAGGCGGCUUCUCAAGUCAGGGGUGAAAGCCCAGAGCUCAACUCUGGAAUUGCCUUUGAGACUGAGAGGCUUGAGUACGGGAGAGGUGAGUGGAAUUCCCAGUGUAGAGGUGAAAUUCGUAGAUAUUCGGAAGAACACCAGUGGCGAAGGCGACUCGCUGGACAAGUAUUGACGCUGAGGUGCGAAAGCGUGGGGAGCAAACAGG